rnacentral:tRNA from 1 species
UUUUGUUUUCGUGAAGAUUUUGAAAAUCAUCCUAGAAAUUAAUAUUUCAGCAAAAA